rnacentral:lncRNA from 1 species
UUUUAUGCUUCUUUCAUUAUCCUCUUCCUUCAAGCGAGUAGCCCUAUGUAAUCUACCAUUUGUGCAGAUGUGUCAAUUGGCAUUUUGUGUUAUGUACUUCGUAUUAGUUCAUUGCCUCUCGCCUAUGAAAUGCCUUCAACGUCCUUUUUGCAGCCAGUAGUUAAAUGCAGCACGGACCACUUGAAUCCAAUAGGUUGUCUUCAAAUGUGGUCUUCCUUAUAAGAUCCAACCAGUGCUCUGCUAAUAAAAAUCAUCUCCUCGGUCCUCAGUCCUCCCUGCAUGCCAUAUACAAGAGAUUGACGAAGAUGGCUCAGUUAUGCUUUCCACUCCAACCUAUAGUGCAGGUAUAGGAUGCAUCAGGUAUGCGGUUGUCUUGAUGGCACUUCAGUGUUCUCGUGCAUACUUUGCCGUAUGGAAAGAAUAGUUUCUCCAAGCUAGGUUGAUUGCAAAAUCGGCGCUUUUUGGGAUGAUUCAGUAGUAAGACAUCUGGUUAGCAUAGUAUGUAAAAAUUAAGCGCUCAUGUCACCCGUCAGCACAAAUGCAUUUCUGGUGGCGACUUUUAGCAUGCUGGUCCCGGGGUCCUUUGUGGUGGCGGGUGGUAAUUAGACCCGCCAGCAAUCAAAAAUCCAUGUGCCAACACAAAUGGUUUUUGACGUAGUGACUGUACGUCAUAGCUACAAACUCAACUACAGGUUAUGGCUAAUAAUAUUCUACUAGGACUGAGUAACAGUACAGUUCGGGAAUCCUAGGACUACAUUGAACAAGAGAUCUGUUAAAAAAAAUUACCACUGAAUAUCUGCAACGUGUUAUUACACAAGAGCCUGAUGCAAAUGUAGUAUGGUGUGAACAGAAAAUUUAAAAAGGUACAGUAGGGUUUAUCCAAUGUAGUUCUAUAUACCAUAUAACCAAAACUGAAUUUAUCAAAACGACCUGUUAAUAAGUGGAUUAGCAGAGAUAGUGAUGUGGCGUGGGCCUAUUACCUGAAAUGUUAUGCAGUGGUGCACCACUACAUAUUGAUAUAGUUGUCAUCCAUAAGAAAAAAUAAUCAGGCCAUGACGCCCAGCUUCACUGAAUGUAAGUUAUCAUUUGUGCAGUGUUAGGUUUCUUGCCAUUACUUACAUGUCAUGAGCUCAACAUUCUUUUCCAUAGAGCACCCUCUGUCCAUCUUAUUUGUUUACCCCUUUCCCUUCAUAUAUGCGCCUGCCUCAACUACAAAAAUUCUCUCAAAAGCUUUCUUCCUCACCGCUACCUUCAAAUCUAGCUAAUCCAAAGAAUAAAGUGUAGAAAAACGCAUAUCACAAGAUGUGAUAGAAUUAGUCCUCAGUCAUGGCCACUCAAAAGUCUAUCUAGCCAUGAGUAGGAUUAGGAUGUAUCGGGAUCAUGAUUAUAUGCGUGGAAGCAAAUUAAAGUACGAUAACUAUGAUUCCUGGCACUGCUGCACUGCGAUUUCAGGCUUUGGACGUCAGGACCAAGAGUGCAAAGGAAGUGGGGAGGGAAACACUGCUUAGUCGCGCCCGGGACCAAUGCCGUGAUGUCGCCGAAGGUGCAGCAGCAGGCGCUGAUGUCAACUGGCACUCUGGCAGCCGUCUUCCAAGAAUACCGAUGCAAAGCAUAGGCGCAUAGAAGAGUAGCUAGCAGAGCAUUGUCUUGGACUUUUGUUCAUCAGCAUACACGGAGAAACGUCAAAAAUAAUCUGGUUUGACGAUGAUAUACUUCCACUCUUCCAGUGCUUUGACGAUGAUUUACUAUCUGGAUUUCUGAAUUGAGGUGACAAUUUGUAAUCUCAAACUCACUUUCCUUUUCUUUCCAUUUUACGGAAUGUGUAAUAAUCUCCAAGACCUACCGAGAAUCUGAGACCAGCUGGUCUGUUACUCCGUUGCGAAUUUCCCUAGAUCUUUUCCACCUCUAUUUUUCUCAAGUUACUAGUAGUAAUCUGGGUAUGAUAGCCGGCUUCACGCAAUGUAAUUUAUGACGUGCAGUUUUAGGUCCAUGCCAUUAUUUCAUCACAUGACUUCAACAUUCUUUUGCAGCCAGUAGUUAAGCGGGAGCAACCUCUGCUGGUUUGAUUCCUCUCCCCUCGAGCAGUUUACAAGCUACUGCUUCAACUAAAGAAAUUCUCUCAAAGCUUGCCUCCUCAGUCGUUGUCUUCUAAACCAAAUGAGGGCAAGAAAUACAAAGAUUAAAGAUGUGACAGAGACUAGGGUUAUGCAUGCUCACUCAUAAGUGCUCUGUAUAGCGAUUAGGAUGCAUCGGGAAUCGGGAUCAUCGUGGUUUUCUGCAUGGCUCUCCCAAACGGAAGCACACGUCUCUGCUGCCUUGGUUGAAAGAGGAACAGAGCAUGGCGAUCGAUGGACGUUGAGGCCGGAAGCAUAGGCAGCGGAAAGAGACGGCUUCAGCUUUUGCUUCAGCUUCUUUACGGGAAAGUAGCAGCGGGCGACCCGUUUUGGAAUCCGAAGAGUUUUUGCGUUCCUUCCUUUGGGCUAAGCAGCAUGCUCCCUUUUUUUUAAGGUGGCUGAAAAUUCUGCUUCGCAAUCAUGGGCACAGGCUCAAAUUCUACUCCAAGAAGAGCGCAAAGAACACAAAGGCACAAGAUGUGAUAGAAUUAUGCCUCGGUCAUGCCCAGUCAAAAGUGCUCUCCACCAGCGACGUGUAGGACUAGGAUGCAACGGGAUCGUGAUGAUCUGUAUGACUCGCAAACGGUGGCAGAUCACGACUCUACAGCCUCGGUUCAAGCACUUGCCACAAUAGCAGUUUGUUUUUCUACCACCAGACUGAAAAGCUCAACAGAAAUUGGUGAGGUGAUAAUUGGUAAUCUCAAGCUCACAUUUCAUGACGUAACUGAAUGUGUAGUAACUCAUACUGCAGUAACUAAAGCAAGCUUUGAGAAUCAUCUCCUUGUAUCUUUAUUUUUUUUCUUCAAGCGAGUAGCAAUUGGCCUACGGCAGCUUUGCCUUAUGUAAUUUAACACUUCACACUGAGGCUCCCUUUAAUAGCCUUUUAUGUUAUAUGUAAUAGUCAUUAGUUCAUCGCCUCAUUUAUCGCAUAUCUUCAGCGUCCUUUUGGAGCCAGUAGUUAACUAGCUAGAGUACGACUGUCCUCAUUCCUCAGUGUCCUCUUUCUUAUAAACUCCAACCGGUCCAAAACUACACUGAAAGCCCUAGAAACAUGCUUUCGAGGUCCCAGCAGUAUACAAGCUACUGAAGAAGAUGAAUCGGUCAUGCAUGUCCAUUGAAAUUGAAACCAAAAGCGCUCUACACUCCAACCCAGCAUAGGAAUAGGAUGCAUCAGGCAUCUGCCCAGCAUUUACAUUCGGUGCUAAAUCCAAUCCUUGACGGAAAGAAUCACUUCAGAGAUGGCUCUUCUACUUGCUUUUGGAUGAUUCAGUCGUGAGACAUCAAAUUAGCAUAACAUAAACAGUUGUGCUAGUCUGAACAGCAACACUGUACCUAGGUUGUGCUUAACUGCAAACUCUGAGGCGUUGUAGGACAUUAAUAACAACGAAGAUUUUGGGAAUCUUAUGGCCAGAUAGAAUUACGAAUAUGUGCAGUCAUCGUUUUCACCACUAAAUUUUGGUAACGUCUUAUAUUACUGUAUUGACUGAUGAAAUGUAGUACAAGCACACAUGCAUGUUGUGCACAAGAAAUUGAAAAGCUUUAGUAGUACUGAUUAAAUGUGGUGCAACAUAGAGCCAAAGCUAAUAAGCUUCAUAAGUACCAAUUAAGUGGAUUAACAGAGAUACAGAUGUUCCCCUUCUGCCACCAAAAAAAAAACAUUCUAGUUAUUUGUAUGUAUCAACAUAAUGAGAAUUAACAUGAAUUAUUACUGAUGCCAAAGAAAUAAUACUAAAGUUCUCUACUGCAUUUUGCUAAACCAAUUAAACUGCUAGUAACCGGCAAUCUUGAAAUAAUCUGCUAUUUAACAGCUGUGGAGGCAAUAUUGAACCGUUCGUCUAAACCAUCCAACCACCAGUACAGUCAGACAGAGUAAUAUACAUGUCUAGAACAAUAAAAUUUACAAAUCAUCCUUUCCUUUGGUAGACCUUUAUGUUCUUUUAAUUUUUUUCUUCUCUUCUCCGAUGCUAUAACAAGAGGACACACAACUAGUAGAACCUUGCAAAUCGUUAUCAACCUCACAUGGUGUUCAAGCUUCAGCCAUCAUACAUUUGAUGGAAGAAUUCGCGUGCGAGAGAUGUAAUGAGAUUUAAGGUUCAUGCUCUAUUGGGCACCAGGUUAUAAACAAAAGAGGAGUCGCACUAGAUCGCUUACCAAGAUAGAGAAUUGUUGGACUGCAGCGGACCAUGUGUACUGGAAGGAAAUCGUGCUCUCUCUUGUUCAAUGUUGUCCACGACCACGAAAGCAACAAAUUAAGGAGGGAUACACCAACCGAACUGUAGAAAGUAGGCUUGUAUGCCCAAGCUUAUGGCCAAAUCUGUGCGCAUUCAUGCGGCAUACAGGCACUAGUGUCGUGUGUCCCGGUGGCACUAGCUAACUGCUGAGAGGGCUCACCUAAUAAACAACAACAAUCAAGUUCCCAGAUUUAUUCUUCUUAGCUUUUGUAAGGCAAACCUUUUAUCUGUUUUUCCUGUUCUCCCUCACCCUAAUCUGUUUCAUAACUCUGUUUUUGGUUCAACUUGUUGUGAUUGCCAAGGUUCCAUGGGUUCAUAACAUUCUUUUCACGGGCAAUAUUUUUGCUUGUCAGUAAAGUGAAUUUACAUCUAACCAGUGCUAAUUACCAUUCACCCGAUGAUUGCCAUCAUAGCGUCUAGGUAACUUCCAACCAUGGGCUCUCACUAGAAGACACUCCAGUUAGUUUCAGGGGUAAGGAUCAUUCAUGAUGACUGAAUUGUUGCUGUCUAGCAUAGUUGUAUCAAUACAUGUGUUCAAUGUACAGUAAUACACAUUGUUGGAUUAUGGCAAGUAGGUCAUGAAUAAAGCCUAUUUUGCCAUCUUAAUUUCCACACAGAUUGCUUCACUCAAUAUCCAGUGGACUAACCACUCUUUUUUAACAUUUCACUACAUAUAUAGGCAUGUUUUCAACUGCCCUUUUUUUGUCAGUAGUCUUUCAUAUUCUCAUGUGUGCACCGUCCCCUUUUUGACAAUCUCAAUCGUCUUCAAAUUAAAUCCCAACAUAACUUUCUGCCUCACUACUGCCAAAUGCUAUUGGUGUGCUAUAUAAUAUACCCUUGCCCAAGUUGAGCGGGAGAUAGAACGUCGAGACUAGAGGCCGGAGAGAAUUCCUUUUUCUAAAGAAAAGUUGCUUCCAUGAAAUAGGCUUCCUAGCUACUAGGCUUGGAAGGCAUCCGGAGAGCAAUUAAUAGCUUAGAUUAUUUUCGUAAUACACCAAUACAGAAGACAACAAAAAAGUUGCAAGUCUACAUGACAAUCUGUUGGGUGGGCACAGCACAUAACACUGUAGAUCACCCAUGCAACUUCAAUGCCAUCAAAGGUGACCUCCUGUUCCUCUCAACCUCUCAUCACCCAUAGUACAACACUGUAGAUGAAAUCAUUAUGUACCGCGCACAUUAUUAUAGUUACCAAACUAAGAUGAAAUCAAUGUACAGGACUCCGACCUUGCCCCGGCCUAGCGCUAGUUGGCCUUACCACACCAAGUCAAAAGGCUCUCAGAACUCGCUUUCAAUUCCCACACUAAAACCGCCCAUGUCCACAUAUAUAGACUCAACAUAAAGUUCCCCUGAGAAUGGGCAUUACCACACCAAGUCUAUUAGGAUUAGGAUGCAUCGGGAGUUGGGGACUUUUGGUUAUUAUCUGCACGCACCAACCUGUGUGUUUGAAGGGGAUCGAAGCACAGCUAUGCAUACUGCGCCACCGCGGCAAGGACAGCAUCUCUCUCAAGGCUAGCAUAGAAUGGAGUGGACAAGGCUAGCAGAUGAAGACAGAGAGAUACUCCAGGUGACGGUGUCUGUGAUGACUACGCCACAAAAGUGGAGACCUAAAGUAAUAUUAUAGUUCAACGCCAGAUUCGAAUGUGAACCGGCUGGCACACCUAGCUAGAACUAGCAGGCAAGGCAAGCAUUGUGUAAAAAUGAGAGCUUAUGUUGCCGAACGCCAUGACAUGAUGUACAUUACAAACAUAGGUGGCAGAAAUUGAUGCGUUGUGACGUAGGGAGGUAGCACUCAACUGUGUCCAUCCCAAACUUCCAAACACCAGGAUAGCAGUUACCUGGGGAUAUCAAUGCUAGUCUCCUGUCUUUUUCUCCUUUGAUCGUUCAUAAAAAUAAAUUCUCCUCCACGUCUUUUUCCUCUGAUCUCUCUGGCUCCCUUGCUAAAGCAGAGCAAUGCUGUAGCGUGUUCUCCUCACUGCACAACCCUCUGCAGAGGCCAUGGCAGCAAAGGAAGGCUUGGAGUUGGCAACAGAGAUCGGCGUUGGGAAGAUGAUCAAUCUCGCGCUGAAGCGGACGCUGUUCAAUGUUCCACGUAAAUGCAAAAAAAAAAACGACGAACCUCAAAGCAUAAUAGACUAACAUGAAUUUUUUCUGUAAGCAAAACGAAAAAUCUUUCGAGACAUGGAUAGGCUUAAUAAACAAUGUUCAGGCAUAGCCAACAUUUAUCAUCUAUGUAAAUCAUUUCAAACUGUCUGUCAAGUUGGUUCACAGUUGAAAGCAAGUAAACGGAGAAGUACUCCCUCUGUUUCUUUUUAUAAGGCAUACUAGAAUUUGAAAAGGAUAUAUAUUCAAAAGUGUACUUUGACAAUAAUUUCUCUUACAAUUUAUAAUUUGCUACCAUAUUAAAAUAUUUGUGAAAUGGUAGCUUAUGUUACUUCGCUACUCCCUGCAUGCCUUUUCAUAGGACGGAUCUCAUUUUUCCCAACCAUUCUAAAAUUUCUCUUUCGUAUUUGUCUGCUGAACCACUUGUAGAUGCUAUAUUGCCAUCAAACGGUGACAAUAUAUGAAUAUAUAGUUGCAAAAAAAACAAAUGUAUAUUAGAAUAUAUGGUAGUAGUCAUUGUAAAGCUACCACUGCAAAUUAUUAGUAGGUCCCAUGUAUGUCAGGCGCUAGAAGCUAUAGCUGAAAGAAAGCAUUGGACUACCUGCCUCUCUCUUAAAGUUCAACACAUGUCAUCUGAGUCUUCAGUCUUGCGCUUCUACUAACUCAAGUGCCUCCUUAAUUUAGCAGUCCUUUUCUCUAGUAGUCUAAGACUUCUAAGUGCUAGCUCCAAAUUCAUGGCCAUCGUUGAUCUAUCUCUUCUUCUUCCCAUCAUUCUCACACUCAAUCUUACUUCCAAAUUCGAUAACCUAGCCCAAAACUUGGUUUAGACUUAGGAGGCAUCAAGAAUACAUUAACCAGACAAAAGCAAAAUAAACUUGCAAUCUUGUGCAGUUCUUUGUGUGGAGAUUUACAUGGAUGUCCAAAAAGGAUAACAACACACUAUAAUGGAGGCCUUAGCUAGAAAUCCAAUAUAAGUCUUUUUUUUGGAAACAAACCAGGCAGGAGAGCUGCCGAUUAUAUUAAAAAGAAAAGAGAUCUCAGAUAGGGAACAGCAACAUAGCCAUAAAAGUAGCUCCCAACGGAUAGUGCCAACUCAACUCAACACAAAAUAAAAAAGAACUUGAUGGCCAGUCCGAUUGAGACAUCGACACAAGCCACACAAUGCUAACGCCUGAGCAGCGACCACCACUCAGCACCACCACCCAGCAGAAAAAGCCGACAAGUAGCUCUUAUCGCCAGUGCUGUCGUCUCCGACGAUAUCCCACGCUGAACCAAUCGCUGCCACGCAGGACUGGCCGCCGCAGCCCGCUGCAAGCCGUGUAGUUACCAGGGCUUCUCCACCAUGUCGUCGUCGGCCUCAGGUCACACACACACGGUCGUCGAUCUCCCAAUCACGGCUUUAUGUUAGUAUAAGUCAAGAGAGGAGCACACUGCACCACACCGAAAAGACCACCACUCUGCAGGACCCAACAUCGAAGCACCGCUGCCGCACCGUGCACACCAAACAACCAAAACACCGCACCGGAUCUAACCCUCCAAGGCAACUCAAAAUGCGUGGGGGCCUCGCCACAUCCACCGCCGCACACCACUCCUCGAACACAUCACCUUAAAGCGAACAGGGCCUCGCCACUUCCGCCUCUGGACUCCACACCAAGGAUCCAGACUUGCUUUGCCAUUAGAGAUGGCAUGGUGCCAUCGAGCUACUCCAAUAACUUCGCCUCCAUCUUGCCGCCGUCGGAAUCUCAGCAGUAUCAUGUGCGCAGACACAAAACUUCCCGCAACAAUAGCUCAACACCACCUCUGCCGCCCCUGAGCCACCACCGCCUACCACUGCACGCCUAGCCUGCUCGCUGCCACCGCUCUACACCAUCGAGUCCACACUCGGAAAUCGCCGGCGCACCUCCACUCCAGCAUGCCGCUCCGAGCCGCACCGCCGCAUCCACCCCCCGCCGUGGAUUGGUCGGGGUCGGGGCCGGCUUGCCUCCUCUUGGACUGGGCAUUGCCGCCGCCGCCGGUGGCCGGGUGCUGGGCGGCGUCGCUAGCGCUGCAUGGGCUCCCGUCGCGGGACCUCGACGAGUCCGCCCCCACCAAGCCAUAGGACCCAGAAUGCAGAUGGACCGGUCGAUGGACAAUGCCAGCUCCCUGCAGAGCUCGCCUCAAAGCUUCCUCACCGCCAGCAAGUCCUGCUAGUCCAUGCGCACGCCCAGCUCCCUCACCAUGCGCCGGUCAUCCACUACCCGGUGCGCUGCCGCUGUCGCGUUGCCGCCCUCCGUUCCGCUCGUCGCUUGCCAGAAUGUGGCGGGGGCGGCGGAUCUGAGGGCGGGGAAGCCAGACCCGCCCACGGCCCUGCCGGAUCCGGGCUACCGCCGCUCCGGCGCGCCACCCGGCCAUGACCCUUGUGCCAUCCCGCCCCAACGAAACGAGCCCGCACCAGGCAGUUUGCCCCACCGGCACCGUCCUUGGGGCCGCACGGCUUUCGGCGACCCCCUUCGGCAACGGCGAGGUGGGCUCGAGGGGCAGAGGGGUGGUUGGCGGCGGCUGCUAUGGUGCCGCCCAUGUCGUCGGGGUGGGGGAGGGGGGCGACGCGGAAGCAUUGAACGAACAACGAAAGAAUAUCUAGCAUAAAUCCAAUAUAAGUCCAUUUGUUCUAUUUUGUCCAUUUGUUCUAUUUUGUAAGUUGGAGGCUAUCUGUUAGGAAAACUAGUCAUUGUGGUUUUGGAUGCACAAGUUCUAAAAGUGUUCUAAAAGUGGACUUCUAAAUCCAAACAGGGCCUAAUCCAUAGAUGCUCAUUAUUGUCACUCCCUUUUCACGAUGCAGAUUGUCACGUGGGGGCAUUUUAUUACAUUCUUGAGUCAGCAAACAGUGAAAUCCGUGCUUAAUUAUUUCCUGCGCACAUGUUGAGAGUUGAGAUAAUUUCCUGUGCACAUGAUUGUUUCUCAUCUUCAUUAGCUAGAUAAAAAUGUUGCGCUUCGAUUCCACUGAAUAUAUACACCAAAAAUUCACUCAUUGAUUGGAACAAGGAGAAACAUCUGAAUACUGUUCUUUUUGUAGCUCAAGGUUAUAAUGCCAUAUAUUAAUUUGAAGAUUAUAUGUACUUGGAUAAUUAAUUGAUUAGAGACAGGAUGGUGCUCCAGUGGGUUCUUAAUAACUAUUAGAUAUUCAUAAAUUUAGAUAUCAAAGAGUUUAGAGUGUGGGAGGAGAAAAUUUCUGGACCAGGGAAGGACAACCGAAGCUCCCAAACCUCUGCUCGCAGUCCAAAUUUAGGGCCUGUUCGCUUCAGCUUAUUCAGCCGGCUUAUCAGCCACCAAACAGUGUUUUCCUCUCACAACAAAUCAGCCGUUUCAGCUUUUCAGCCGGCUUAUAAGCUGAAGCGAACAGACCCUUAAAUUAGCUCUCUCGAAAUGCAAGUAAUUUGAAGGAUCCAAAAACAAUGUAAUGUGCCAAUGUGGGCCACCUUGUAAGAAGGAUCCAAAAACUUGAAGCUCUAGUGAAAACAUGACCCGAGUAAUUGGAAGUGAAGUGAAAUGGUCCACGAUAAGAGUUUUCUGCUGAACAGAAAGUGCUUCUUUCAAAAUCAUCAGACCUGAAAUUUCUGAACCAGAAAAAUGAGAUCUGCUGCCCUCAGUCCCUCAUGAUGCUGAGUAGAUCAUCAAAAUCAAGCUUCCAACGUGACCCACCGAUGAGAGCGCGCUCCGUCUGAGGCCUAACGGUCAAAAAAUUCGAAACCCCCGCACUCCGCGCUCCACGUCCAUACACCGGAACCAUCCUGUCCGUCCAUCCCGCUCGCUCGGACAAACGAACGUCUAGAUGCUGCUCCCAGUCCACCGGCCUCGCCAAUUUCGAACCCGUUAAAACCCCCGCCGCCGUCGCCCUCCCCCAACGGCCAAAUCCCCAGCCAUUUAGAGCCGUAGCCCGUGGCACCACCACCAGGCACGAACCCUAGGAAAAUCUCCCCAGAAAUCCCCCACCCGAAUCAGGGCUGUAUCGUAGGGAGUAGUCGUCGCGAGAAUCGGACAGGCGCGGAUCGGGGAGGAGCCGAGCAAAUCGUAAGUAAUUUUGUGGCUUCUGGGAGGAUUUGGGGGUGGUUUUGUUUUGCUGCGAUUUUCCGAGCGGUUUGGUGAUGGGGUUUUUUCCUCUGCUUCUGUUCUUGCAGAUCCGCGGGAGCGUAAGGAUUGGAGUCCGGGAUUCCGGAGCGGCGCGGUAAUCUAUCAGAGGUAAGAAUCACGUAGCGGGUGGAGGUGGGGAUUUGGUUGGUUAUUUGGGUUGAUUUUGCCGGUUCGCCCCCAAUCGCUCUCUUCAGAAGCGUUUCUUUGGGUUCUUUAUGUGCGAAUCCCUGGGGAGGUAGAGGGUUGAGGCGGGAUUAUGAGUAGAAAGGUUGCGGAUUAGGUGGUUUCGGUGUUUCUUGAGGCAAUUUCUUCAUGCUGUCGAUGCUUAUCCAUGGGUCUUGUCUGCAUUACGUCGUUCUUGCAGGUAGGCAUCUUAGAGUCGUAGGAAAGAGCAGAAGCCAGACCGGGACCGAACAACAGGUGUGUAGACCUUUUUGGUGCAUUAGUUGUUCGUGUGUUCUCUGAAUUCUACUUGCCAAUUUCGUCCGAAUAAUUCUUGCAUGGAUACAGGAGAAGUUUCGCGCAUAGAUCCAGGAGAAGAGCAACAGGACUCAGGGCACCAAGAACAGGACAAGAGCAGGAUAACUGUAAGAAAAUUGUGCUUCCUUCCCAUUUAUUGAUCUGAUGAGGCAUUUAUAUGAAUCUUGCAUCACUGAUGUGCUUUAUGAAAUUCUUGCAGAACUACAAGAUGCCUGAAGUGAGGACUGCUACUCGGCCGGCCCUCACCGACACCUCUGGUGGUGGGUUCUUUAUCAGGAAGGUGGCACCGCCAGGAGCUGUGCUGGUGAAGGGUGCUGUCAAGCCGCUGGCACGACAGGCCCGGACACCGUCAAGCAACAAGGAGAAUGUGCCACCAGUGGGGACUUUGAGGACUGCACCAAAGAGGAGGAGCCCCUUACCUAACUGGUACCCAAGGACCCCACUCCGUGACAUCACAUCAAUCGUCAAGGUGAUGAACUAUUUCCUUACAGUAUAUGCGAUGUUCCCUCAAUUCCAUACGUGCCGUGACCAUUUCUGCUAAAGUCAGAGUUCUCCAGUUUUGUUGUAUUCUCUAGGAUAUGCCACAAUAUCAUUUUGGAGUUGUUGUUAGUCACUUAAUUCGAAAUGCACGGUUAGCGGUUACCGAAGUAGCCAAUGGAGUCAAAUGCAGCUUUUAUCAUUAGUGUGAAUCAUAUCAAAAGGAUUCUUAUAAUUCAAAUGGCCAAGCAACAAUUUUCUUACAAGGCAUAACCCAUGCGCUUUUGUUCUGUCUUACUUGUGUAGAUGUAUUCAACUUUAGCUGCCUGGCAAUUUAAAUGUGCUUAAAUUUACAUAAUGGUCCAGUAAGCAAUAAGGCCAAUUUUAUCUUAAUCCAUUUACUUCAUGUUCAUUAACCCCAGUAUAUUAGAUCUUAAAUAUUCUGUCGCAUUAGAGCUUGGGUUAAGGGUUCACUUGAUGUACUACAACUAAGAAGUAUGUGUCCCUGUACGAGAUACAACAGAAUUGCACAUGUCAGCCUGUCCUAUUAAGAAGCAUGUGUAUGAGAUACAACAAUUGGCGUUUAUCAUCUAGGUUCAUAAUAGCGAGUAGAAUUGUCUGAUAUUAGAGGUUCACUUGUAUUUUUUUUCCCUUGAACACGCUAGAGGUUCACUUACCGCAUGACUGAAUUGCUCUACUUGUUUGGUUGUAGAAACUAGCUACUGCAAUUACAAUGUUCCACACGUGUCAGCCUGUUAAGAUGUAUUACAACAUACGACGAUUGGCAUUUAUGAUCUAGGGUCAUUAUAGAGGGUGGAUUUGUGACCAGUACCAAAGGUUAUAUACAAGUUAAUGUUUAGAAGUUGAUCGAAAUUAAUUCAGCUGUUGAGCUCUUAUUUGCAACAACCCAUCUUCCUUGCUGCUCAAAUAUCCAUUGAUUUAAUGCGACCUAGUGAAACAGAUAUUACUGUAAUCAUAGACUCAUGGUAUAGCCGUAUCUUCUGUUAAGCAUUAUUAUGCAGAAUGAUUCAAUCCAUUCAAGAUAUUUGAUAGGUUGUCGUCUUUCGUCACUGUUUUACUGGUUUUGUCAUUGACAUGACUUAAAUUAUGAAAAUAUCUUCAUGACUAUGCUAGGUUUUAUGUGUUGACAUUGGAAUUGUUGAGACUGCUAAAAGUUGGUGUCAUUGUGUUCAACCAGAAUCCUUUUUGCAGAUUAAAAUAAGCAUGCUUGUGAAGUAUGAAUUAGUACACGUAAAGAAGCAAUAUUGGUGUUCAUAUUGGCAGUGAUUUAGAUUCUGCAGCAAACUUUGCUUCAUGUUCAGAAAAUUGUGUUUUUUCCUCUGUAGUCCAUUUUCCUCUGUAGUUCAGAAAAUAUUUGUUUGGAUAUUAGAUGCAUACCUAGUUUAGACGCAUUGAGUUACAUUCCCUUGGAGAUCUACUGAUCUACUAAACUUGCAGGCUCUUGAGAGGAGAAGUCGCCUACAGGAUGCUGCAGCUCGGCAGCAUAUCCAGUGGACAGAAGAUUCUUCACCAUCUGUGGAUCCAAUAACUCCAGUACAAGCAGAAAGCAUGCCAACAACUGAGAAAGCUCAAGCUGUUGUGACCCCUACAACUUCUUUGGCCGAUGGCAAGCUGAAGGCCACUCCAUCUGGCUACUCCUUGCAGGCCACUCCAUCCAAACCAAAUGAUCCAGCUCUCUCCGAUCUCAUGGAGAAGAAACUGUCCAGCUCAAUAGAGCAGAUCGAGAAGAUGGUGAGGCGAAACCUGAAGAAAACUCCGAAGGCUGCUCAGCCUUCCAAGAGGGUCGUCCAGAGGCGCAUCCUGAUGUCCAUGCGAUGAGCUGAUGAUAAAGCUCUGUUCCGGAAUGGUUUCCUAUUGUCUGCAGCUUUCUUAGCGGCUAGUCAUAACCAAUUGGUCAGUUUCGCCUGAAGUGGGUAGGGGUUCCUAGUUCUCUGCUUGAGGACCUGGGGUACGGAGCUUACCUAGCUCUCUGCUUGAGGGCAUAUAAGAUUACGGUGACUGCAGUUCUUCUACGUUUAUAGCUUCAACUGUAUAUAGCCUCUACGUCUUUACUGUAACACAAUCACUGCUACGCAGUCAUUUUGUUUGUGAAAUUAGCAGAUCUUCUGUAUAAGCAACGAUUGAACCAAAUUACUUUGACAGAUCCUGUUCCCCAAGUAAAAAAACAUGGAUCAUUACUUUGACAGCUUGAAUGCUUUUAUCGCUGAGUUUUGUUGGCACUUUCUUGUCAAAUGACUUGUUUAUGGGAUUAUGGCUAGAUUGCCUUGCUAUAAUGCUUUGCUUCUUUAAGCAGAUUUACUUAAGUGAAUGGUGUUCACUGAUCUGUACAAUUUACUGAUUCACUUACGAUUAUCUAUGAUCCUUUUGGAGAAUUGGAAUUUUACAAUUGCUAUAUUCUUGCUGCAACCAAUGUUGUAAAUGUAAAACACUCAUCGCAUAAGCAUUGCAACCACGACGGAUAAUCACAUUUACAGUUCUUUUUCCUGAUUGCCAACAGAUGAACAUAUCACAUGAUAUGGUAACAUUUGAAAAUGAUCCUUGCUGAUUAACAGAAAGCCAUAGCCAUAACAUCGACACUUACAUAGGAAACAAAUACAUUGGAUCUUUGCGCACUGCCAUGAAAUUCAUAUGUUAAAUUUACAUAGUGAACAAAUAUAGUGCUUGGAGCUCCCGUCCUUUAAUCAUAUCCGUUCGAUGGCUAAUAGAAAACCCCAAAUUUGCAUGUGUUUUCUCUCAUGGUUAUUGUAUCCAAUCCUAAAUCUGGACACGCCUAAUAUACUACAACAGCAUGUAUCAAAAAGGAAAUACAAAAGGUAUAAAUACACCUAUACUAGUGAUCACACAUCCAAUUAGAUGAGGUAGCUGCAAUUAUGUAGCCCAAUGAAACAGCAUUCCAGCAUCACCGGAUAUAGCUCCUAACAAAAGAUGUUUCACCGACGACACUUAAGCUGACACAUCUCUGCAGGACAAGGGUCAAGGGUGAACCAAGCAAGUUAGGAAACUAUGCGGGAAAUAGGUUCUUAUUUCCAAAAUCAAAUUAUGGAGUUAAUUGAGUCGAACCUGUGACUUCAGAGGGGGGAACACAUUCCAAAACUGGAGUGUUUCAUCACCAGCGCAAGUAGCUAUACUCUGUUGAUAUCAUGGUGGGAAGACAGUAAGAACAAAUCAUACUAGGUGACAUAAAUGAAACUCAGAAACAGGUCACGAGGACUCACCUGUCCAUCAGGGGAAAUAGCUGAAUGCAGUACUCUAUUUGUAUGCCCUGUCAAGGUGACAACCUGCAAAAAGAGAAGAACAUGAUCAAUACACAAAGGAUAUGGUACAAGUUAUAAUUGAAUUCCAGAAUAAGCUUGCAGUGUACCUUUGACAUUGUUGGAUAUCGCCAAACAAUGAUCUGAUUCUGAGAGUCCCCAAGGCUGCUCAUUACUGGAUGCGGAUUCCAAACAAAAAGCUGCAACAAGAAACAUGAGUACAAGCAGAAUAAAUAUCAUUCUGAAGUCCUUAUAACAAUGCACUCAAAAGUGAUGGAAACAUAUGGAACAGCAACUUAUUCUUUUGUCAUUGCCACCAGAUGCAAGCUGCCGGUCAUCAUAAGACCACUUGAGCCCACAAACCUGGAAAAUGUGUGUGAAAAUAAGAAGCCAUACAUGAGUAAAACGAAGCUCCCUUAGGAUUAUCCAUAUACUGAAAAAAACCAACAAAAAUGGUGCAAUUAUAUAUAUAGCGUGCAAAUUAUAUGGAGAUUCUUGAGUUGGUGGUGAAAGGCUCUUCGAGUUGUACCUAAAGAGUGGCGCAAAGGUCUGAAUUCUUUGGUUAUCUUGGUAGCCUGGGAAAUCUGGAAGCACAGGAACUCUUGUGUGUUUGAACAUACAAGGCCAAGCAUUCCAGGUUUGCUCAGGACAGUGGCUGAUGAGUGCAGUUUGUGGGGAAUGGCUAGAGUUUCUAAACUCCAGGAAUUCCUUGCCUGGUCGCUGUCCAUAGUCGAUUAAGCUAUGGUUUUUUGUUUGCUAGGUCGAUCUGUGAGUCUUUGGUGGUGCGCCUGUAAGCUAAUGGCGUGUGUGGGUGUGGUGUGAGUCUUUGUACUCGGGUCCGGCUUUGGCUAGACCCCUUGUUCUCUUUUUUCUACCUUAAUGAAAUGACACUCAUGACGCAGCUGUCCUGUGUUGUUCAAGAAAAAAAAAGAUAGGAAUACAUCACCUCAGAUUUAUGUGCAGUAAGAUUGCUAACUUAAUCUUCUUUAGCACGGAUAUCAUGGUGAAGGAUGCUCUUGUCACGACUGCCAGAAGAAAGUAAUGAAGAACCCCAUGCAAGAGCACCUACACGCAUACGAUGGCUUUCCAUUGUUCUGAUUCUUUUAGAGCGAGUUACAUCCCAUAUCUACAUAAGAUAAAAGAUAGUGUGGCAAUUAGAUUUCCAGACAAUCUCAGCAGUGAUGAAGAAUUUCAUAGAAUACCAGAAGCAUCAAGGGAAAAGAAUCUAUAGAGGUACCAUAAACCAAAUACACACUGCCUACUGAUGAGGUGGUAGUAGUAUUGCAGAACGUUCAAAUUUCAACUACUAUAGCAUAUAACUGAAAUUUUGUUAAUGUUUGCAUUGCAUUGUGAUAAAUAGUUCAGAGAGUCAUGCUUAGGCUAAGAAUCAUGAACAUGCCAUCUAAUAAUUUAAGAUAGGAGCAUGAUGUAACCUGAACUUUGCCCUGCUUUGUCCCUACAGCUAGAUGAGUGCCAGGCUGCGCCCAUCCCACGGAACAAACAUCAUCAUCCUCCCCCAAUCGCAUAGCAUGGUAACCUGCAUUGCGAUAAACACAUUCACAUUCCACCUUCAAUUGUCAGAAGAGGAAAUCAUGCAAGAACACCAUGGUUGCUCACCUUAUCUCUGCUUGCAUCCAACAAGUAGAUAAUAUUCCCCAAUCCGACAGCAAGUGCGUUUUGUGACGACCAAUCCAGCAGGUUCCGGUAGAAGUCAUCCUGCAUUGUGGGCGCAUCCAGAAUCUAUAAAAGAAACAGCAAGAAAAUUACCACUUUUUAAGCAUGAACCUUCAAAUUGACAUCGCACUCUUGAAAAUCCAAGUCUUUAUGCAUUAUUACAGAAGCUUGAAACAAAGUAAAUGAAGAAAGAUCAAAUCUUGCACAUCCCUAGCGUCGCCAAAGACUCGAUCCAAGGAACCCAAAUCAAGAAACAGAUCCAAUCAAGAAAGCAACAAAAUCGAGUCUAGUGCCCUCUUCUCACCUUGUAAGGCGUUCUUGGGAUCUUCCUGGGCCUGGCGCCCCUCGCCGUGGAAAUCCCAGCGAACAGCUGUUCCUCCUCGUCCCCGCCCCCGAAGAGUGCCCUCUUUGCCCUCCGGGGCACCGCCUCCGCCUUGAACUUGAAUAUGUUCCCACUCCCGGGAGUCCCCACUUCCACUGGCGACGCCGACGACGAUGGGGAGGAGGACGACGAUGAGCACGCGGUGGCCGAGGACGCCACCCGAUCGGCGUGGCGGGCCAGAACAGUGCGGCGCUCAGGAGCUCGCAGUACGGGGAUGGUACGGCAGGGGUUGCGAGGUCGAAUAGCGCGAGGUUGGAUCUGGAGCGGCUAGGGAUGAAGCGGUCGCUGUAGACGGUGUGGGAGGCGACGGAGUGGGAAGGGUGCGGUGGCAUGGCGGAGAGGCCAGAGGGCGGCGCGGGGGCGAGGCGCGCGUUGGGCAUGGAGGCCGCUGCCGUGUUCUCGAUCGGCGGCGGCAUCAGGUGGGGGUGAAGGAUUUGAGAGGCGGAAACGGCGGCGGGUUGGGAAGGGGAACGGGGAUCGGCGGGUGGGGUUCAAAGGCGCGGCAAUUUUUGCCGUUGCUGCACCGGUGCACGUGCGCGCCCCCGCGCUUUUCCUCUUGCCAAUUUUGGGUUUUCUUUCGUGGUGUGGCUAUGACAUCGAUGACGGCUCCUUGAACACAGGUGAAAAAACGAUCAAACAAACGAACAAAGGGCACAUGAUACUCGUAUAAGCCCUCUGUUCAGGUUCUGGGAAAAAUAAAACCGCAAUCAGUUCAGGUUGAUUCAUCAUUCAUCCAUCUUAACUGGUUCUUUUCAUUUCCCUUGACCAUUUGGAAAUUGUAGUCAAUGCUUAUCAUGGAACAGGUCCUUCACCAUGUCGUCGGUUUGCAAGUUGCAACACUAUCCAGCUUCAAGAUCUAGGUUAGGAUUAUAUUUAUUUUAAAUUGUAAACUAAAUGAUUCAUCUAAAAGCUCUAGAGGGACCUUUUAGAGUUAUAUAUAACACUAAUAAUAAGAAGAAGAAAUCUUUCUCGAUAUCAAUCCCCUUCCCCUCAGUCUUUGAGAAUAAGAAGGACUCUUCCUAGGCUAUGCUCCCUCGUCUACGCUCCAACCAAUUCAGCCGAACUGUCUCACAAUGUUCUAAACCCAACUCAUGUACCACUCUCCCAACUCAUUGUAUCAUAGAUUCGUAGGGGUGAUGAUUUACUUCACAAACAGCUGCAAGUGAUCCAUAGAUUUUCUGGAGUCGACGCUCUACCAAAUGGAGUCUAAAAUUAUUUAACGGAAAGCUUGUAAAUACAUCGAAUGGUAUGUUAGUUGUGCAGUGCUUGUGCUUAUGCCCAAAGUAUUUCUCAAAUGGAAUAAAAGAGUUAUCGAUAACUUGAAUAAAAAGGGAUAAUGGUCUUUCACAAAGCAAAAUUUGUCUAGGAUACUAAUAACACCUGAAGACCAGGUUGUGUUCUCACUCAGACUGUAUUUUAUAAAUUUCUCAUACGGUCGAAGAGCAUUUUAUUCUAUUUUAUUAUAUAGAUCUCUAUAGGAGCAUUUAUUUAUUUAUGCUUUAAAUAUUCCUCCAUCCCUUCUAAAAUAUAGAUUGUUUUAGUUUUGUCCAAUAUUGAUUUUCUCUCACUCCCACCAAGUUUGUAAAAAAACAUAUAUUAACAUCUACAAAGUAAAAAAUGCAUAAAUAAAAACACAUCUCAUGAUGGAUUUAACUGAUCAUGUGUUUGCACCACUCACAUCUUGUUAGGAAGAAGCUUAUUUUCACAUCUAGCAUGUUGUUGAUAUUCUUCCCUAACCAUUCCUCGUGGGUAUCAUUAACAAAGUUAUUAUGUAACACGAACAUGACAAGGUAGGAUACAUGUGUAAACAGGAUAGAUUUAUGUAUAGAUAGAGUUGUUUAAACUAGCAUACCUUGGACUACAAGUUGUAUUCAAACCUAUCUGUUGGGGAUUUCCAUAUAUAUAUAUAUAUAUAUAUAUAUAUAUAUAUAUAUUAACACGAAGCCGUGGGCGUGCCAGCCACGUUAACCUAUUUGUCGUGUAUUCUUUCAUGGUAAUCAGAGUUCCAUUCCUUAGAUACAUCUAUUGCCAUGGCGUCUAGCUCCAACUCCUCCACCCACCUUGGACCUCCAGUUUCCGAGAAGCUCACUUGCGACAACUUCCUCCUAUGGAAGGCACAGGUGCUUUCUCCAAUCAGGGGUGCACAGCUACUUGGCAUCCUUGAUGGCACCGUCCCAGCGCCGGAGAAGACCGUCCUCGACAAAGAAGCCAAGGUGAUGAUUCCCAACCCGACGUAUUAAGCUUGGCUGGCGCAGGACCAACAAGUCCUGGGAUACCGGGUCAAUUCCCUAUCUACCACGGUUUUGGCACCGGUAGCGACGCUAACAGAGGCGUUUGAAGUCUGGAAGGCCUUGGAGGGCAUGUACUUGGUGCAAUCUUGACUAAUCUGCGGAUGCAACUUGCAAGCCUCAAGAAGGAAAGCAUGAGCAUCGCAACAUACUUCAACAAGAUGAAGUCCAUAGAAACAAGAUGAAGUCCAUAGGAGAUGAAGUUGCAGCCGCUGGAAAGCCAAUCGACAAUGGUGAGAUGAUAUCCUUUAUUCUGAACGGCCUUGAUUUUGAAUACAAUCCUAUUGUCUCUUCGGUUCUUGGGCAUUCAGAUCCCAUCACAGUCAAUGAUCUCUAUGCUCAGGACAUGGUGUAUGAGAUGCGCCUUGAUAUGCUUCGUGAGCAGCACAAUGGAGGAAGCUACCAGUCCUCAGCAAACUCCGCAUCCAAGGGUCGUGGAAACUUCAAUCCUCGCGGUCGUGGUGGUGAAGACCGUGGCCACGGUCAUGGUGGUCGUGGCUCUGGUGCCCCUGGUGGUCCAAGCAACUUCAAGCCAAGAGGAUAAAGCAGCAAGCCAAGGUGUCAGAUCUAUGAAAGAACCAAACACACAGCUUUGGAGUGCUAGUACAGAUUUUAUGAUGAUUACCAACAGCAAGGCAACAACAAGACAGGAGGAUCAAAUUCAGCCGCAUAUGGCGUGGAUACUAACUGGUAUGUGGACAACGGGGCUUCUGACCACGUCACCAGUGAAUUGCGGAAGAUGACAGUGAGGGACAAGUAUGGAGGUCAUGAUCAAGUACACACCGCCAAUGGUGCAGGUAUGAGAAUUAGUAACAUUGGUCAUCCAUCUUUACAUAUCCCAGUUCAAAAUCUUCUUUUAAGAAAUAUCUUACAUGUUCCUAGUGCUCACAAAAGUUUAGCCUCUAUCCAUCGCCUAGCCUAUGAUAACAAUAUCUACUUUGAAUUUCACCCACAUGUUUUCUUUAUCAAGGAUCGAGCAACGAAGAAGGUACUCCAUCAAGGAAGAUGUAAAGGAAGCCUUUAUCCUUCAAAGCUGAGCAACUCGGAAGCAUGCAAGAAUAAAGUAGUCUUUGGAGUUAGUAAACCAUCUAUGGGUCCAUAGGUGGCAUAGUCGUUUGAGGCAUCCCUCUUUUCCUAUUGUUAAGUAUGUUCUCAAGAACAAUAAUUUAUCUUUCAAUGAUAAUACUAGUAGUGAGUCGGUUUGUGACCCUUGUCAAAGGGCUAAGAGUCAUCAGCUUCCGUAUGCUAAAUCAAAUAAUAUUUCUUCUGCUCCGCUUGAAUUAAUUCACUCUGAUGUUUGGAACCUGCUCCUAUUUCUGUUGGCCGAUACACAUACUAUGUAAGCUUCAUCGACGACUAUAGUAGGUUCACAUGGGUUUAUCUGUUGAGAAAAAAAAAUCCGAUGUGUUCGAUGUCUUUCAAAAUUUCGAAAGUCUUGUUAAGAGAAAAUUUGAUAAAAAGAUCUUGGCUAUGCAAACAGAUUGGGGAGGUGAAUAUGAGGGUCUAAAUUCCUUUUUCCAGCAAAUUGGUAUCUCUCAUCGGGUCUCAUGCCCUCAUGACCAUCAACAGAAUGGGUCAGCCGAAAAGAAGCAUAGACACAUUGUUGAAGUUGGUCUAGCCCUUCUAGAUAAUGCCUCCAUGCCUCUCAAAUGUUGGGAUGAAGCCUUUCUGACCGCAACUUAUUUGAUUAACUUGUUGCCUAGCAAAGUCAUUAAUCACCAAACUCCUGUAGAGUUUCUUCUUCAAACAAAACCGGAUUAUACUUCUCUUCGGGUGUUUGGAUGUGCUUGUUGGCCAAAUUUUAGGCCAUACAACAUUAGAAAACUAGCUUUUCAGUCAAAACAGUGUUCUUUCCUUGGAUACAGUCCUCUCCACAAAGGUUUCAAAUGUCUUGACAUAUCAACUGGCCGUGUCUAUAUUUCUCAAGAUGUAGUUUUCGAUGAAUCUGUUUUUCCCUUUGCAUCCCUUCAUGAAAAAAUGCGGGUGCUAGAUUACAACAAGAGAUCCUUCUUCUUCCUGAUCAUCUUUGAAACAGUAGUACUAGGGGUGUAGAUUGCAUUGAUACUAAUAUUACUAACUCUCAUGAUGAUGGUUCAGAUGAUGUGUAUAGUUUUCAUGAAGAGAUAGGAAGAAAUUUGGAUCAAAUUGAUGCUUGGAGGGGUCAAAACAUACCAAUAUUUCAUGCGCUAGGGGGAGACAUGCCGGGCACAAGUUCCAAGGGUGAUACGCCUGCAGCUACUGACGCUGACACCCAAGUGGAUACGCUUGCUCCAGGUGCUGACGUCGUGUCUGGUUCUGAUCCGCCGGAAGCCAAUGCCUCGACGCACGUGCUCCAGACCACUCCGCGCCCGCCGACAGCUCUCCACAUGGCGGCCGCAGAUAGGCGGGGGUAGAAGGGAUCCCACAUCCGUCGUUGUCUGCAUAGGAAGGAUCAUCUGCAGCCGGAUCUUUACCACUAUCUAUGGUGCAAAAUUUUGCGUCUACUCAACCUUCUGUUGCAUAGCCUGAUGAAUCUAUUACACCACCAGUACCCUGGCCUAAAACAUGAUCACAGAGUGGCAUUGUGAGAUCUAAGCAAUUUUUUGAUGGCACUAUUUGUUGGGGUAAUUUUUGUUCUACAGGAGAACCCGAAGAUUUUCAAGAAGAACUUGCUUUUAAAGAUUUGGGUGAUCUAAGUUAUUUUCUUGGAAUAGAGGUCAAGCCGAUUCAGGGAGGCAUACUUCUAUCACAGGAAAAUAUAUGGUAAUGAUAUUCUAACAAGAGUUGGAAUGAAGAACUGUAAGUGUUCUCCUGCUCCUCUAUCAGCUUUAGAAAAAUUGUCUUGUGAAGAUGGAGUGCCAUUGUCAUCUGAAGAUAGUACUCGGUAUAGGAGCAUUGUAGGAGCAUUGCAAUACUUAACUCUUACACGUCCUAAUCUAGCAUUCUCAGUAAACAAAGUAUGUCAAUUUUUACUUGCACCUACGACUGUUCAUUGGUCAGCUGUCAAAAGAAUAUUGAGAUAUGUGAGAGGGACGGUUGAUAUUGGUCCUAUGAUUAAUAGAACAACCUCCAAUUUAAUAGUGUGUUCUCAGAUGUUGAUUGGGCAGGAAGUGUUGAUGAUAGGCGAUCAACUGGAGGUUUUGCUGUUUAUCUUGGGACUAAUUUAAUUUCGUGGAGUGCUAGGAAGCAACCAACUGUGUCCAGAUCUAGCACUGAAACCGAGUACAAAUCUCUACCUGAUGCUACUUCAGAUGCUACAUGGGUAGAAGCAUUGCUUGCAGAAUUGGGAAUCAAGUUACAAGAACCACCACGCUUAUGGUGUGAUAAUCUUGGUGCUACCUACUUAUCUGCUAAUCCUGUUUUUCAUGCAAGAGCUAAACAUAUUGAGAUCGACUUCCAUUUUAUUUGAGAAAGAGUAGCAAGGAAACAAUUGGAGAUUCGGUUCAUAUCAACCAAGGAUCAGUUAACAGAUGGUUUCGCAAAGUCUUUGCCAGCUCGGGAAUUUGAGAAGUUCAAAGGCAAUCUCAACCUUAGAAGUAAGUCUGGUUAAGAUUAAGGGAGGCUGUUAGAGGAUGUAACAAAGUUAUUAUGUAACACAUCAUAUGAACGUGACAAGGUAGGAUACAUGUGUAUAUCGGUUGAACACAGGAUAGAUUCAUGUAUAGAUAGAGUUGUUUAAAUCGGCAUACCUUGGACUACAAGUUGUAUUCAAACUUCAUGUAUCUGUUGGGUAUUUUCCUAUAUAUAUUAACACGAAGCCGUGGGCGUGCCAAGAGAGGCAGCCACGUUAACCUAUUUGCCAUGUAUUCUUUCAUCAUGGCCUAACUUACUCUCUACAAUAAGUAUUCUGCACAUGCUCAUCCGCUUGUCCACUGCUUUCUCUCUGCGUAUUUGACCUGUUACUCCUCCACUCCAAAACAUCUAGAGCAUCUCCAGUGAGAAGUUGUGACUCAUCAUCUUACACGAAUGCAUGAAAAGCGAACCAAACAACUAGAAAAUGUGAAUGUCAUGAAUAGAACGUCAAGAGGGAGGUGUCACUCUGCUGCUUUUAAUCAAUGAUGUAAAGCUAGCGACUUGAUGUUGAUAUUGAAGAUGUUGGAGAGAGCCUGAAGCCUGAAGAAGUAGAUGGAGGCAUUAGGAAGUCUACACGAGUCAAGAGGCCUAACCCAAAGUAUGACAGCCUAUCUUGGCAACCCAAUUGAAGCAAAGCCCGCCAUCACCUGAUCAUUAUACAGGAGAUGUGUAAGAGUGGAGGAGGUAAGGAGGAAGAUCGAAGACAUUAGCCGACUGCAAUCUAUGAAUACGGAAUACCAUUUGUAUACAGGAUAUCCUAUGAUCUUGUACUCAUAUUUGGAGUGAACUUGUGAGAACCGAAAGUCAAACACUACACAUGUUGCUUGUUGGUGACAGUGAACCAUUCAUGGAGAGAGAAAUAAUCACCUCUUAAAUGACGGUCAAAUCAGUGACGAAGCUAGGAUUCGAAAAAGAGGGGGCUAAGCAAAUUAUAUCAAGCAAGUUCGAUAGAAAUCAAGGCCAAAUAAAAUAAAUUUCAUUUCAAAUCAAAUGAACUAUUUGAAAAGUUUUGAGCAUAGGGGGAAAUGGCCCGUGCCAGCCUCUCCUUGGCUCCAUCCCUGAGUCAAAUCCUUGCUUUAAAAAAGGUGAAUUGAAAUUGUGGGAAAGAGAAGUUACGAGAAGAGCGAGACUAUAAAAUUGGAGUCUUUAUUUAUUGAAAAAUGUGUUGGCCCCUAUGCUUUUGAGUCAAAGUCAAGUAAGAUCGUGUGGAUGGAAUUUUUUUUUCAACGAGUCGAAUCACAGAGAUGCUCUAAACUAACAAAAUAUGAUGGAGAAGAACAGCUAAGAAGACAAUCAUAAUACGAACGAUUUUUGACCCUGUCUGUUUCCGCUUAUAACCAGCUUAUCGGUGAAAAUAAGCAAGAAUCCCACCAAACACCUUACUUAUUUUCCCAGAUUCUCGCUAACCGCUUAAGAAAUUUGAACUAUAAGAAGUGAAAAGUGAGAAGUGAGAAAAUUUUUACUUAGAUUAUAAUUCAAGUAUGGUUGAGAGAAGCGGAAACAAUCAGCGCCUACAGCAAUCUCAAUCGCUUGAUUUAUUCGAUUUUUUAAUGAACCUAUUAAUUCGAUUUCACAGAUCACGGAUCACCCGUUCUCGCCAAGGCAAACGGUCCGGCCCAGCCGUCCAGGAAUUCGAAAUUCGGGACGGCGCUCACGGCCACGGCCCCACCGAACGCGCCGUGGCACCAGCGUUUCGUCCGCACGCACCAGGUCCAUACACCGGAACCAUCCUGUCCGUCCGUCCAUCGCGCGGCAUCACACGAACGUCCGGAUUCGGCUCGCGGUCCACCAGGCGCUCCGUACACCGGGCAUCUCCCGUUGUCCGCCUCGUCAUUUCAAAUCGAACAGGUUAAAAAUCCCGCUCAUCCCCGCAUCCCCUCCUCGCCCCCCACACUAGAGGCCGUAGCCAGCCAGCAGCCACCUCCAUCCAGGCGCAAAGCCGCAAACCCUAGGGAAUCUACCCAGGAAUCCCACCCGAAUCAGGCCUGUAUCCUCGGAGUCGUCGUCGCGGGGACCGGAUUGCCGCGGGGCCGGAGAGGAGCAGAGCAAAUCGUGAGGAAUUUCUUGCUGUUUUCAGGCGGAUGUGUUCGUACAAUUUUUCGAGUGGUUUGGUGAUGCGGGUUCUCUCUUGGUUCUGUUGUUUGCAGAUCUCGGAAGGAUAAGGUUUCGGAGGCGGGAUCAGGAGCGGAGGGGACCUGUUAUAGGUGAGAAUCGACAAACGGCAGGGCAUUCGUUGGGUCGCCCCAAUCGCUUUGCUCUGUUGCCUUUCGUUGGUUGUUUUGGUCUGAAUCCCUGGGGAAGUGUGGGAUUGAUUCGAGUAGGAAUGUGGGGAGAACGAUUCGGGGCCAGAUGGUCUUGAUGUCACUGAUGGUUUUGUUGGGGUCUUGUCUGAUUCGUUGGUCUCGUUUGCCUUGUGGCUUUCUUGCAGGUAUCGUAGAGUCGUAGGUUCGCGCUGACAUUGGAAGAAGGCGGAGAGGCGGAAGCGGAGCAAGGGGAGAGCAAUAGGUGUGUAGAUUUUGGUGAAUUUGUAUUUCAUGCUCCUCUGUAUUCCACUUCGCCGAUUUCAUCCGGAAAUUUCCUGCGUGGAUCCAGGGGAAGGCUCAGGGCACUAAGAAUUUCUUGCAGAGAUCCAGGAGAAGAGCAACAGAAAUCGACGCACCAAGAGCACAAGAGGAGCAGAACUGUAAGGAAAACUGUGAUUCAUGGAUUUGUUGACGUCCUGAUGCAUCUUGUGGGUGGUUCUUGCAUUACUGUCUCACUGAUGUGCUAUAAAAGCUUCUUGCAGAACUAAAAGAUGCCUCAAGUGCGGACUGCCAGCAGGCCGGUACUUGCCAGCCACUCUGGUGGCGGGUUCUUCGUCAGGAGGGUGGCAUUGCCGGGAAUCGUGGUGGUAAGGUGUACCAUCAAGCCACUGGCUCGACGGGCUCGGACACGAUUGUGCAACAAGGAGAAUGUGCCACCAGUGGGGGCUGUGAAAACUGCACCAAAGAGUAGGAGCCCCCUACCUGACUGGUACCCGAGGACCCCACUCCGUGACAUCACAUCUAUCGUAAAGGUGGGGACCUGUUUCCUUGGACUGUUCGUGGGAUGUUCUCUAAAUCUCGUAAAUGUGAUGACUAUUUUGCGCUAAUGCCAGAGUUUUAUGGUUGAUACAUGAUGCAUGAUCUGUUCUUUAGGAUAUGCUAUAAUGUUGCUUUGUUAGAAUUAUUAUUACAUUAUUGGUCUUGUAUUCAAAAUGCCCUUGUUACCAAAGUAGAUUCUGGAUUAGAGUUUGGUAUUCAGGAUGUAGAAGUUUUUAUAGGGCUAAUGUUGGUGUCUUGUACAUUUUUGUUUAUGAUACGACAAGAUCCAUGAAUUCAGUUAGCCUGUGUCUCAGUGGCUUGAGUGAGAACAGUAGCAUAAAAUGCGAUCAAGCAAGCCUUACCUUUUAUGCUUAGUGCAGUGACUAACACAAAAGAUUAGUAUAUUUCAAAU